AUUGAACGCUGGCGGCAGGCCUAACACAUGCAAGUCGAACGGUAACAGGAAGCAGCUUGCUGCUUCGCUGACGAGUGGCGGACGGGUGAGUAAUGUCUGGGAAACUGCCUGAUGGAGGGGGAUAACUACUGGAAACGGUAGCUAAUACCGCAUAACGUCGCAAGACCAAAGAGGGGGACCUUCGGGCCUCUUGCCAUCGGAUGUGCCCAGAUGGGAUUAGCUAGUAGGUGGGGUAACGGCUCACCUAGGCGACGAUCCCUAGCUGGUCUGAGAGGAUGACCAGCCACACUGGAACUGAGACACGGUCCAGACUCCUACGGGAGGCAGCAGUGGGGAAUAUUGCACAAUGGGCGCAAGCCUGAUGCAGCCAUGCCGCGUGUAUGAAGAAGGCCUUCGGGUUGUAAAGUACUUUUCAGCGGGGAGGAAGGCGAUAAGGUUAAUAACCUUGUCGAUUGACGUUACCCGCAGAAGAAGCACCG
rnacentral:rRNA from 1 species